GGGUUGUGAGGUUAAGCGACUAAGCGUACACGGUGGAUGCCCUGGCAGUCAGAGGCGAUGAAGGACGUGCUAAUCUGCGAUAAGCGUCGGUAAGGUGAUAUGAACCGUUAUAACCGGCGAUUUCCGAAUGGGGAAACCCAGUGUGUUUCGACACACUAUCAUUAACUGAAUCCAUAGGUUAAUGAGGCGAACCGGGGGAACUGAAACAUCUAAGUACCCCGAGGAAAAGAAAUCAACCGAGAUUCCCCCAGUAGCGGCGAGCGAACGGGGAGCAGCCCAGAGCCUGAAUCAGUGUGUGUGUUAGUGGAAGCGUCUGGAAAGGCGCGCGAUACAGGGUGACAGCCCCGUACACAAAAAUGCACAUGCUGUGAGCUCGAUGAGUAGGGCGGGACACGUGGUAUCCUGUCUGAAUAUGGGGGGACCAUCCUCCAAGGCUAAAUACUCCUGACUGACCGAUAGUGAACCAGUACCGUGAGGGAAAGGCGAAAAGAACCCCGGCGAGGGGAGUGAAAAAGAACCUGAAACCGUGUACGUACAAGCAGUGGGAGCACGCUUAGGCGUGUGACUGCGUACCUUUUGUAUAAUGGGUCAGCGACUUAUAUUCUGUAGCAAGGUUAACCGAAUAGGGGAGCCGAAGGGAAACCGAGUCUUAACUGGGCGUUAAGUUGCAGGGUAUAGACCCGAAACCCGGUGAUCUAGCCAUGGGCAGGUUGAAGGUUGGGUAACACUAACUGGAGGACCGAACCGACUAAUGUUGAAAAAUUAGCGGAUGACUUGUGGCUGGGGGUGAAAGGCCAAUCAAACCGGGAGAUAGCUGGUUCUCCCCGAAAGCUAUUUAGGUAGCGCCUCGUGAAUUCAUCUCCGGGGGUAGAGCACUGUUUCGGCAAGGGGGUCAUCCCGACUUACCAACCCGAUGCAAACUGCGAAUACCGGAGAAUGUUAUCACGGGAGACACACGGCGGGUGCUAACGUCCGUCGUGAAGAGGGAAACAACCCAGACCGCCAGCUAAGGUCCCAAAGUCAUGGUUAAGUGGGAAACGAUGUGGGAAGGCCCAGACAGCCAGGAUGUUGGCUUAGAAGCAGCCAUCAUUUAAAGAAAGCGUAAUAGCUCACUGGUCGAGUCGGCCUGCGCGGAAGAUGUAACGGGGCUAAACCAUGCACCGAAGCUGCGGCAGCGACGCUUAUGCGUUGUUGGGUAGGGGAGCGUUCUGUAAGCCUGUGAAGGUGUGCUGUGAGGCAUGCUGGAGGUAUCAGAAGUGCGAAUGCUGACAUAAGUAACGAUAAAGCGGGUGAAAAGCCCGCUCGCCGGAAGACCAAGGGUUCCUGUCCAACGUUAAUCGGGGCAGGGUGAGUCGACCCCUAAGGCGAGGCCGAAAGGCGUAGUCGAUGGGAAACAGGUUAAUAUUCCUGUACUUGGUGUUACUGCGAAGGGGGGACGGAGAAGGCUAUGUUGGCCGGGCGACGGUUGUCCCGGUUUAAGCGUGUAGGCUGGUUUUCCAGGCAAAUCCGGAAAAUCAAGGCUGAGGCGUGAUGACGAGGCACUACGGUGCUGAAGCAACAAAUGCCCUGCUUCCAGGAAAAGCCUCUAAGCAUCAGGUAACAUCAAAUCGUACCCCAAACCGACACAGGUGGUCAGGUAGAGAAUACCAAGGCGCUUGAGAGAACUCGGGUGAAGGAACUAGGCAAAAUGGUGCCGUAACUUCGGGAGAAGGCACGCUGAUAUGUAGGUGAAGCGACUUGCUCGUGGAGCUGAAAUCAGUCGAAGAUACCAGCUGGCUGCAACUGUUUAUUAAAAACACAGCACUGUGCAAACACGAAAGUGGACGUAUACGGUGUGACGCCUGCCCGGUGCCGGAAGGUUAAUUGAUGGGGUUAGCGCAAGCGAAGCUCUUGAUCGAAGCCCCGGUAAACGGCGGCCGUAACUAUAACGGUCCUAAGGUAGCGAAAUUCCUUGUCGGGUAAGUUCCGACCUGCACGAAUGGCGUAAUGAUGGCCAGGCUGUCUCCACCCGAGACUCAGUGAAAUUGAACUCGCUGUGAAGAUGCAGUGUACCCGCGGCAAGACGGAAAGACCCCGUGAACCUUUACUAUAGCUUGACACUGAACAUUGAGCCUUGAUGUGUAGGAUAGGUGGGAGGCUUAGAAGUGUGGACGCCAGUCUGCAUGGAGCCGACCUUGAAAUACCACCCUUUAAUGUUUGAUGUUCUAACGUUGACCCGUAAUCCGGGUUGCGGACAGUGUCUGGUGGGUAGUUUGACUGGGGCGGUCUCCUCCUAAAGAGUAACGGAGGAGCACGAAGGUUGGCUAAUCCUGGUCGGACAUCAGGAGGUUAGUGCAAUGGCAUAAGCCAGCUUGACUGCGAGCGUGACGGCGCGAGCAGGUGCGAAAGCAGGUCAUAGUGAUCCGGUGGUUCUGAAUGGAAGGGCCAUCGCUCAACGGAUAAAAGGUACUCCGGGGAUAACAGGCUGAUACCGCCCAAGAGUUCAUAUCGACGGCGGUGUUUGGCACCUCGAUGUCGGCUCAUCACAUCCUGGGGCUGAAGUAGGUCCCAAGGGUAUGGCUGUUCGCCAUUUAAAGUGGUACGCGAGCUGGGUUUAGAACGUCGUGAGACAGUUCGGUCCCUAUCUGCCGUGGGCGCUGGAGAACUGAGGGGGGCUGCUCCUAGUACGAGAGGACCGGAGUGGACGCAUCACUGGUGUUCGGGUUGUCAUGCCAAUGGCACUGCCCGGUAGCUAAAUGCGGAAGAGAUAAGUGCUGAAAGCAUCUAAGCACGAAACUUGCCCCGAGAUGAGUUCUCCCUGACUCCUUGAGAGUCCUGAAGGAACGUUGAAGACGACGACGUUGAUAGGCCGGGUGUGUAAGCGCAGCGAUGCGUUGAGCUAACCGGUACUAAUGAACCGUGAGGCUUAACCUUACAACGCCGAAG
rnacentral:rRNA from 1 species